UUGCUAUUGGGUUAGGAUGCAAAAGUAAUUGUGGUUUGUGCCAUAAAUUUUACUGCAAAACCUGCAGUUACUUUUGCACCAGCCGAAUAUGUGCCAA
rnacentral:miRNA from 1 species